rnacentral:rRNA from 1 species
GACGAACGCUGGCGGCGUGCUUAACACAUGCGAGUCGAACGGAAAGGCCUUUUCGGAGGUACUCGAGUGGCGAACGGGUGAGUAACACGUGGGUGAUCUGCCCUGCACUCUGGGAUAAGCCUGGGAAACUGGGUCUAAUACCGGAUAGGACCGCACUUUAGUGUGUGUGGUGGAAAGUUUUUUCGGUGUAGGAUGAGCCCGCGGCCUAUCAGCUUGUUGGUGGGGUAAUGGCCUACCAAGGCGGCGACGGGUAGCCGGACUGAGAGGUUGGUCGGCCACAUUGGGACUGAGAUGCGGCCCAGACUCCUACGGGAGGCAGCAGUGGGGAAUAUUGCACAAUGGGCGCAAGCCUGAUGCAGCGACGCCGCGUGGGGGAUGACGGCCUUCGGGUUGGAAACUCCUUUCGCCAGGGACGAAGCGUUUUGUGACGGUACCUGGAGAAGAAGCACCGGCUAACUACGUG